AUGCACGCUGGCGGCGUGCCUAAUCCAUGCAAGUCGAGCGAACAGACGAGGAUCUUGCUCCUCUGACGUUAGCGGCGGACGGGUGAGUAACACUUGGUUAACCUACCUAUAAUACUGGGAUAACUUCGGGAAACCGGAGCUAAUACCGGAUAAUAUAUUUAACCGCUUGUUUCAAUAGUUAAAUACGGUUUUGCUGUCACUUAUAGAUGGAUCCACGCCGCAUUAGCUAGUUGGUAAGGUAACGGCUUACCAAGGCAACGAUGGGUAGCCGACCUGAGAGGGUGAUCGGCCACACUGGAACUGAGACACGGUCCAGACUCCUACGGGAGGAAGCAGUAGGGAAUCUUACGCAAUGGGCGAAAGCUUGACGGAGCAACGCCGCGUGAGGGAUGAAGGUCUUCGGAUCGUAAAACUCUGUUAUUAGGGAAGAAGAAAAGUGUAAGUAACUAUGCACGUAUUGACGGUACCUAAUCAGAAAGCCACGGCUAACUACGUG
rnacentral:rRNA from 1 species